CCCAGACUCCUACGGGAGGCAGCAGUGGGGAAUAUUGCACAAUGGGGGGAACCUUGAUGCAGCAACGCCGCGUGGGUGAAGAAGUACUCCGGUAUGUAAAGCCCUGUCAGCAGGGAAGAAAAUGACGGUACCUGACCAAGAAGCCCCGGCUAACUACGUGCCAGCAGCCGCGGUAAUACGUAGGGGGCAAGCGUUAUCCGGAUUUACUGGGUGUAAAGGGAGCGUAGACGGCUGUGCAAGCCAGAUGUGAAAGCCCGGGGCUCAACCCCGGGACUGCAUUUGGAACUGUGUGGCUGGAGUGUCGGAGAGGCAGGCGGAAUUCCUAGUGUAGCGGUGAAAUGCGUAGAUAUUAGGAGGAACACCAGUGGCGAAGGCGGCCUGCUGGACGAUGACUGACGUUGAGGCUCGAAAGCGUGGGGAGCAAACAGGAUUAGAUACCCUGGUAGC
rnacentral:rRNA from 1 species